UCUCCGUUGGUGAACCAGCGGAGGGAUCAUUACAGAGUUUUCACAACUCCCAACCCUUGCGAACCGUACCCAUUCUGUUCUCGUUGCUUCCGGCGGGGGGGACGGUGGGGCCCGAAACGGCCUCCCCGCCCCGCCCGCCGGGGGCGGCUGGCCCGACGAACCUUUAUGUCUCAACCACCAGAAACCGUCUGAGAAAACAAACAAAAUAAUCAAAACUUUCAACAACGGAUCUCUUGGCUCUG
rnacentral:misc_RNA from 1 species